GGAUGCGAUCAUACCAGCACUAAUGCACCGGAUCCAUCAGAACUCCGAAGUUAAGCGUGCUUGGGCGAGAGUAGUACUAGGAUGGGUGACCCCUGGGAAGUCCUCGUGUUGCAUCCC
rfam:Ipomoea nil DNA, scaffold: scaffold1762, cultivar: Tokyo-kokei standard.